rnacentral:misc_RNA from 1 species
UAGAGGAGUAUUCCAGGGAGA